rnacentral:sRNA from 1 species
AUUGUCAAGGGUAUCUGUCCAACUACUCUUAUGCAUAGUAGGCAUGAUAAGGACUUGACAAUACUUAAAUA